rnacentral:tRNA from 1 species
GCCAAAAUGAUGGAAUUUGGUAGACAUGCUAGGUUUAGGUUCUAGUUCUUUUAAAGAGUAGGGGUUCAAGUCCCCUUUUUGGUA